CUACGGGCGGCUGCAGUGGGGAAUCUUAGACAAUGGGCGCAAGCCUGAUCUAGCCAUGCCGCGUGAGUGAUGAAGGCCUUAGGGUCGUAAAGCUCUUUCGCUGGGGAAGAUAAUGACGGUACCCAGUAAAGAAACCCCGGCUAACUCCGUGCCAGCAGCCGCGGUAAUACGGAGGGGGUUAGCGUUGUUCGGGAUUACUGGGCGUAAAGCGCGCGUAGGCGGACUGUUAAGUCGGGGGUGAAAUCCCGGGGCUCAACCCCGGAACGGCCUUCGAUACUGGCAGUCUGGAGUGCGAGAGAGGUGAGUGGAAUUCCGAGUGUAGAGGUGAAAUUCGUAGAUAUUCGGAGGAACACCAGUGGCGAAGGCGGCUCACUGGCUCGAUACUGACGCUGAGGUGCGAAAGUGUGGGGAGCAAACAGGAUUAGAUACCCCGGUAGUC
rnacentral:rRNA from 1 species